rfam:Oryzias latipes DNA, chromosome5, strain: Hd-rR.
UUACAGGUUUUUCUAGAAACCAUUCAAAAAUUACUUUUAAAUCAGG